ensembl:lncRNA
UGGCAAGGGACCUAAUUUGGAUACGCUUGGAAAGAGUAUUCCCAGGAUUAAAACAACAAUGGAUUGGUUUCAGGGUAGAUACCAGCGUUGCCAAGACACGCUCCAUAAACCAAUUAGGCUUCCUUUCACUUUAAUUGUUUCAUUGGGGGAUUCAAGUCUCCUUUUGGCUUCGCAUGACCAAGAUAUUUGUCUAAAACUAAACACAUGGCCCAAUCCAACCAAAAUGUCCUCUCUCUCUCUCUCUCUCUCUCUCUCUGUUUGUUCAUUGACUCAUUCCAAACAGGCAGCUUUAGCCAGGAGUGCCAGAUGGGCAGGGUUCACUCUUUUGUGACUGUUCAUGUAUUGGUUCCAAUGCACAAGACACGCUCAAUCAAAUUCAGAUCUGAUACAAUGAUGAUGAACAUUAGGUCAAAUGUUAAGAGAUUUGCACAGCUUACUUCACUGUCUGAAGAGCUGCUGUCAGAGGAGGAGGAGGAGGAGGAGGAGGAAGAGGAUGAACUGGAAUCCUGUGUACAAGAAGAAAAGCUUCUUCUUUUUCUUUUCCUUCUUGCCUUUGUCCUCCUCCUCGCUGUCUGAAGAUGGGGAGCUGUGGAAUGAGUACAAGUCAACCUGAAGGAGAGAGAGACUGCAAUUGUUACAACUUGACAGAUGGAUAUGACGGAGUAAAAUUAGAUGAUCGUCCUGCAGGGGCUCUGGGGUCCGUCUUGGCUGCGUUAGUGGUGUCGGUUGAAGACAGCCCUCCCAGCCCUCCAUGCUCUUCAAGCUUCUGUUCACUCCUCCCAGGCUGGAGUUCAUCCAGGUUGCUCAGGACAACUUGUCCUCCCUCUCCAUCUCCUCCAGGCCCUCCCCCUGGAGCUACACAAACCAGCAUAGAUUACCGUACUACACAGUUAUGUGUUCCAUUCACAAAUCAAUAUGUUUAUUGUAUUGUACGGGUUGGACUAUAUUUUCAGUCAUCUUAGCCUUGUACAAAUCAUCUAUCCUAUUAUACAAAUCACCUACACACUGAGGCUUUUGUGGUGCGAACAACAUUAAAUACAAUACAAAAAAAACAAUAACCAGAGUAUCAAAAAUGCAUAGGUACUGAUCAUGUGUGAACGGCAUAAAUGUGUUUUAAUAUUAUGGAUAAAACAUUAUCUGAUGCCUUUCCUUAUUUCUCACACUGUACUCCAUCCCAUGUAAUGAUGCAUUAUCUGAUGCCUUUCCUUAUUUCUCACACUGUACUCCAUCCCAUGUAAUGAUGCAUUCGCCUCAGAGUACAUUUGUAGCCAUAAUGCACAAACCAAAUUGACUACAUCUACAUAUUGUCUGUUCUAAGUAGAAGAAGUAGCAGAUGCAUUAAUUUUGCAUGUUGACUGACAACAACAGUGGAGAAUUGCAUGAUUUUUUUGAUUUCAGAUGUCUUUGCAUGACUGCAAAGAAAUACUAAUAAUUGUACAGCUUUAAACUACAGCUCACCGCUUCAAAUGUCAUGUAUCUACAUUUUCCAAUUACACCUAAAGUAGAAUGGGGUGGAAUAUACAGUUGGUGAUAAUGAGAAAUGAUUGUUACUUUUACCGGGGAACAUACUUAAAGAACGAGACCCAUUACAUUUUUAGACCACAUCAAGCUUUAAACAUACAGUAUGCCGGUAAUCUAUAAAGGCAUGUGCGCUAAUGUCACCAAAGGUGCGCUAAAGUCACCAAAGGUGCGCUAAAGUCACCAAAGCUGCGCAAAAGUCACCAAAGGUGAGCAAAAGUCACUAAAAGUGCAUAGAUCACCAUACCUUUGGGUCGGUUGAACUCCAUUCAACUCAACAGCCGCUCCAGUUACACCUUGCCGUUGGCUGUGAAUGGAUGAUAUGACUGAGUUACACUGAUAGGAAGUCCUUUAUUCUGGCCAUUGGCCAAGGUGUGGGUAUUGUGUUGUGUUGGCCUGUGCAGAACAGGUAAAUCCGGUUUCACAGUAAUGGGCUGACCUUUCACAUUUCAUGUUGAAUAUUAGUCUAAUAUCUUAAAAAAUACACUAUAUUGCUUGUAUCUGAUCUAUAUUAUCUGUUUUUCUAAGUUUGUCCAAACAUAUCUCUUCUCACAGUACAUGGAGGCAAAAAAAUUAAAAAGUGUAUUUCCUAUAAACAAACAUUUGUCUUAACAUCACACAUGGCAGUAUGGUCAGUGCUCCUUGCGCAAAGUAAGGGUGCAUUAUGACACAGAGUUGCACUGAAUACAUUUUGAGAUCUUGGAGUGCUCGAAUUGAGCUCUCAACUACAGCCACAGGGCAAAUUAUGGACAUUGUUUGGUUAGAAUUGAAAGGAUUAUGCUCAAAUGCCAUUAUUUUUCUGUAAUACUUUAAACCAUUGGUUUAACUCUAACAGUUCAGAAGGUCACCAUCUGUCACGAUCGUCGUAAGAAGCGUGCCAAAGCGCAGCGUGGUGGGAAUGCAUCAUUUAAUAGAUGACAAAAAACAAGAAGUAAACUGUACAAAAACAAUAAACGACCGUGACGCUAUCAUAAGAACUGUGCUGACACAAGCAACUAACAUAGACAAUCACCCACAAACAAACAGUGAAACCCAGGCUACCUAAGUAUGAUUCUCAAUCAGAGACAACUAAUGACACCUGCCUCUGAUUGAGAACCAUACUAGGCCGAAACGUAGAAAUCCCAAAAUCAUAGAAAAACCAACAUAGACUGCCCACCCCAACUCACGCUCUGACCACACUAAAUAAAGACAAAACAAAGGAAAUAAAGGUCAGAACGUGACACCAUCCCUUCUUUAUUUAAAUGUCAAAACAUAUUAUUCUAUUUGUGUAGUCUACCCUUCACAACACUUGGCUAGUAGGCUACAUGGUUUUUAAAUGACUAAUACCCAAUUAACUUGUGAGAGACGCAAACUCGGUCUCAACCUUUAAGUCUUUACUGAAAACUCAUCUCUUCAGUGGGUCAUUUGAUUGAGUGUAGUCUGGCCCAGGAGUGUGAAGGUGAAAGGAAAGGCUCUGGAGCAACAAACCGCCCUUGCUGUCUCUGCCUGGCUCUUUCCACUGGCAUUCUCUGCCUCUAACCCUAUUACAGGGGCUGAGUCACUGGCUUACUGGUGCUCUUUCAUGACGUCCCUAGGAGGGGUGCGUCACUUGAGUGGGUUGAGUCACUGAUGUGAUCUUCCUGUCUGGGUUGGCGCCCCCCCCCCCCCCUGGGUUGUGCUGUGGCGGAGAUCUUUGUGGGCUAUACUCGGCCUUGUCUCAGGAUGGUAAGUUGGUGGUUGAAGAUAUCCCUCUAGUGGUGUGGGCUCUGUGCUUUGGCAAAGUGGGUGGGGUUAUAUCCUUCCUGUUUGGCCCUGUCCGGGUGUAUCAUCGGAUGGGGCCACAGUGUCUCCUGACCCCUCCUGUCUCAGCCUCCAAUAUUUAUGCUGCAGUAGUUUGUGUCGGGGGGCUAGGGUCAGUUUGUUAUGUCUGGAGUACUUCUCCUGUCUUAUCCGGUGUCCUGUGUGAAUUUAAGUAUGCUCUCUAAUUCUCUCUUUCUCUCUUUCUUUCUCUCUCUCAGAGGACCUGAGCCCUAGGACCAUACCUCAGGACUACCUGGCAUGAUGACUCCUUGCUGUCCCCAGUCCACCUGGCCGUGCUGCUGCUCCAGUUUCAACUGUUCUGCCUGUGACUAUUAUUAUUUGACCAUGCUGGUCAUUUAUGAACAUUGGAACAUCUUGGCCAUGAUAUGUUAUAAUCUCCACCCGGCACAGCCAGAAGAGGACUGGCCACCCCCCAUAGCCUGGUUCCUCUCUAGGUUUCUUCUCUAGGUUUUUGCCUUUCUAGGGAGUUUUUCCUAGCCACCGUGCUUCUACACCUGCAUUGCUUGCUGUUUGGGGUUUUAGGCUGGGUUUCUGUACAUCACUUUGAGAUAUCAGCUGAUGUACGAAGGGCUAUAUAAAUACAUUUGAUUUGAUUUGAUUUAAACUUCCGACUUCAACUGUAGGUCCUGGAUGACAAGAAGCUUGGCCCUACUACUGGUUUGAGGAGUUAGCGAACUAACUUUGGUCAACUCUGAGUUCAACUUGGGAUAACCGGUACCACUAAAGUGGUUCACCUUUUAGCCUGGUAAAUUUCUAUGGAAAAGAACCCUUUAGAACUAACCAGGCUAACUCAGGACUAAGUCAAUUUAUCCUGAAUGAAGUGUCUGAGAUGUGAGUUGAGGACCAAUGAAAUCAGAUUGCCUCCCUCCCGCAAAGAUUGUGCCAUCAUCCGUUUCAUUGGCAUUUUUACGUGUAAAAAAAUUGAAUUGUUAAAAUACCUAUCAUAUUACACAUUUAGUAAUGACAGAAUGCAUUUGAAACUUCACACGCAGUAAAACCUUUGUAUUACUAAAUCAAAUUAUUUUGUCGAUAGGAGUGGGAGAAAAGGUGCUUGUGCAUUGAUAAGCAGACCAAAGUACACCAUAGACGGCAUUAACGAUAAGUAAGAAAACAUAGACAGCACUUCUAAAAACCUGUUUCACACCAUAGCCUGCUUAAUUUGCAAGAUAACUUUUCUUUCAUUUUGAUUUCGGUUACAAAUUAAAAUGUGGCACUGACACGCCCAUGGAUUGAUGUUUCAGCAUUGUCUCAAUGAAGAGUUCCUCGUUCGAUUGGCCACAUGCGACAUUUGAGUUAGUGGCAGGCAGAAGAGGAAUAUCCAUGAAGCCUGAGCUGGAAUGUGAAGCUAAUUAAAGCUGGCUAGCUUUAGAAAAUCCACACAUAGAUCUAGCUUGCUUCUUAGUAUACCCCUCUGGACACAUUUUUAAAAUACUAAACCUUCCCCAGCAACAAAAUUGAAAAAGCAUGACCCUCCCCAAAAUUCCUUCAUGUAGAGCUAGGAAUACAAGAGUUUCACUACACCCGCAAUAAAAUCUGCUAAAUAUGUGCAUGUGACCAAUAAAAUAUGAUUUGAU